rnacentral:lncRNA from 1 species
UCAAGAAAACAAAGUAGCACAGUGCAGCAUGCAGGUGCGGUACCAGCAGACAUCAGGUGCUCGCUGCCUGGCUCACACAUCUUGGCCAUCCCUGCAGGAGCAGCUGGAGGAGAUGGAAGAGAGGCAGCGGCAGUUACGCAGUGGGGUGCAAGUUCAGCAGCAGAAGAACAAGGAGAUGGAGCAGCUGAGGACAAGCCUUGCUGAAGAGCUUUCCACAUAUAAGUCAGUGUUCUCUGCUUCGCAAGUCUCUUCAGGAUGGCGGGCGGGAGGGUCCAGGGGGAAGUUCAUUUAGAAAGAAAACAAACCAUUUGGGGAACCCAUGAACGGAUGGAAACCAGCUCUCUUUUUUUAAAGGGCCAUGCUACCCAAGAGUCUGGAUCAGGCUGAUGCACCUACUCCUCAGGCAGGU